AGCGGUAGAGAGAAGCUUGCUUCUCUUGAGAGCGGCGGACGGGUGAGUAAUGCCUAGGAAUCUGCCUGGUAGUGGGGGAUAACGUUCGGAAACGGACGCUAAUACCGCAUACGUCCUACGGGAGAAAGCAGGGGACCUUCGGGCCUUGCGCUAUCAGAUGAGCCUAGGUCGGAUUAGCUAGUUGGUGAGGUAAUGGCUCACCAAGGCGACGAUCCGUAACUGGUCUGAGAGGAUGAUCAGUCACACUGGAACUGAGACACGGUCCAGACUCCUACGGGAGGCAGCAGUGGGGAAUAUUGGACAAUGGGCGAAAGCCUGAUCCAGCCAUGCCGCGUGUGUGAAGAAGGUCUUCGGAUUGUAAAGCACUUUAAGUUGGGAGGAAGGGCAGUUACCUAAUACGUGAUUGUUUUGACGUUACCGACAGAAUAAGCACCGGCUAACUCUGUGCCAGCAGCCGCGGUAAU
rnacentral:rRNA from 1 species